UUAUGUUUACGUUUUAUUUGUUAGCUCUACAGUCUCCCAUUAUCACUUGCUGUGAAGUAGAAAUAUUAUCAGCCAUUUGAUUGAGAUCCGAUGGUCUGAUAAGCAAAAUCAGUUAUGUCUGAAAUUGUGAAUGCCUUAUCGAUCGAGGUAGGGAAUUUUUUCUCAAAGACGUAAGAAUAUUCUCUACACGAUUUAAUAAUGGAGAUUUAGCGUAGAGAAGUGUUUAGGUUACUAAUGGGGAAGAAAGACUCAUUUCUCGUUACUAUGGAGGAUAUCUGUAGGGAAGAUUUUCUUGUCUGAUAAUAACGAUGUGGAAAGUCGUUAUCAUGGAGUGUGUGAGAAACAUACGUGAUAGGACUCAUUUUGUUAUUUCUUUGAAGCGAUUCGAAGUUGUUAUACUCAUUUGAAUCCAAGUAAUUAACUCAAGUGUUUAAAUUGAAAAGCUGGUGGCUUGAGGAUGAAUGAUUAGAUGAAUACUAUAAGUUAAGAGACUAUUUGUGCGAUCGCCAAGUGAGGAGCAAACCAAAUAAUGUCAAGUGAUAAGCAAAUAAAGAUCUACCGGUGAGUAUCUCUCAAAAACCUUCUCGUGAUGUCAUAUGUUACCAUCAUAUUAAUUUUUAAUCGUAAUAUAUAUAUAUAUGAGAUUUAAUUUAAAUUUCCUUUAAAAAAAUACAUGCUUGAUAGCAAGACAUAAAACCUUAUAAGUGAUUGACAAGUUUAUAUAAACCUCAAUUUAGAAGAAAAUAAAACGAGUAAAUAAAUGUAAUUGUCUUUUGCUGUUGUCUCUAUUUAAGAAAAGACGAUCUAAUAAAUUUUACGGGUUUUGAAAUAUUUUUUCAUACUUUAUGAAAAAUGAUUUAGGAAAUUAUAAUUUUAUUUCAUCAAAAAUAUAAUUUUAUUUCAAUCAAUAAUUUUAAAGAAAAUGGGCACCAUGAUUGAUUUGUAAUUUAGUUUGUUUCUAUAUCGGAUGACGUCAUUUAAUUGUUUAAUUUGACAUUGUAAUUAAUUUUGUAAAAAAACUUUUAUGAAAAAAAAGCCAUACAGUGUAAUGGUGGGCAAAGCAUAUGAGUUGAGCUCAGGGAAUCACAUGGCCAAGAUCUCUUGGUUGAGAAGAUUUUAGUAUCUUUGACUACUAAACGUACAAUAACAUGCAUUCUGCUAAAACGAGUCAAACUUAAUUUUAGGAGAAUCUUAAAUUUUAAUUUUUUUUAAUUUAGUCCUUAAAAUAUAUGUAUUAUAUUAAUCAAAAUUUUCUAUCAAUUUAAUUAUAUAAACUUGUUGAGUGUUUUGCUAUGUGUUUUCUUAGUGAAGGGAAUCGAUUUUUGUUUAUUGAAAUGACAUUUUAAAUAGGCUCCAUGCAUGCUAACAUGUAUCAUUA
rnacentral:lncRNA from 1 species